UACGAAGGGGGCUAGCGUUGCUCGGAAUCACUGGGCGUAAAGGGUGCGUAGGCGGGUCUUUAAGUCAGGGGUGAAAUCCUGGAGCUCAACUCCAGAACUGCCUUUGAUACUGAGGAUCUUGAGUUCGGGAGAGGUGAGUGGAACUGCGAGUGUAGAGGUGAAAUUCGUAGAUAUUCGCAAGAACACCAGUGGCGAAGGCGGCUCACUGGCCCGGUACUGACGCUGAGGUGCGAAAGCGUGGGGAGCAAACAGG
rnacentral:rRNA from 1 species